AUUGAACGCUGGCGGAAUGCUUUACACAUGCAAGUCGAGCGGCAGCGCGGCCUUCGGGCUGGCGGCGAGCGGCGAACGGGUGAGUAAUGCAUCGGAACAUGCCCAGUCGUGGGGGAUAACACUUCGAAAGAAGUGCUAAUACCGCAUACGUCCUGAGGGGGAAAGCGGGGGAUCGCAAGACCUCGCGCGAUUGGAGUGGCCGAUGUCAGAUUAGCUAGUUGGUGGGGUAAAGGCCUACCAAGGUGACGAUCUGUAGCUGGUCUGAGAGGAUGAUCAGCCACACUGGGACUGAGACACGGCCCAGACUCCUACGGGAGGCAGCAGUGGGGAAUUUUGGACAAUGGGGGCAACCCUGAUCCGGCCAUUCCGCGUGAGUGAAGAAGGCCUUCGGGUUGUAAAGCUCUUUCGGCAGGAACGAAACGGUGGGCUCUAACAUAGUCCGCUAAUGACGGUACCUGAAGAAGAAGCACCGGCUAACUACGUG
rnacentral:rRNA from 1 species